AGGGGCGGCGGGAUUGACAGUCGGUAAUUGGGUAACUGGAGGCGGCUUCUCCGGCCGGGCGGCCCCGCCACCGCGACGCCGGGCCCCUGACGUCACCCGAUUCGCCAGGAAAUGAACUUUUUAAUAAUCUGAGGAGGGAGGAAAGCCCUCGGUCCCCUCGGCUCGGGGGGCGCCCAGCCGGGCCCAGCUCCGCCGGCGCGCCCCCGUCACCUCCUGCCAGGCCAGCUCCGGGCAGCGCCCAGGGGGGCGCGGGCCCUGGCUAGGGCCUCCCCCGGCCUCUGCGUCUGGCGUCAAUUUGUCCGGUCCCGGGCGCAGCGGCGCGUAACGUGAGAUCGCCGCGGAGCCUAUCGGAGCCUCUCCAGGACGCCGUGGCCCGGGAGAUACCCCGCGCUGGGCACGGCCGCUCGCGGAGCUCGAACCCCGGACCCCGCGCGAGGCCGAGCGGCCACUGUCAGCCGGUCGCGGGGCCGGGAACGCCGGAGCCGAGCGGAAGCUUCUCGGCCGGCAGCGACCAGCGCCGCAGAUCGCAGGAAAGUGGCCGCGCAGGGCCCUCGACAAAGCAGGGCUAGAAAGAGAGAAGCGCAGCAUCCACUCCAGUGGCAGCUGGAGCCACAGAGCAGAGAGAGCCAGCCGGCGGAGCCACCCGAGACGGAGCUGAGCGGAAACUCCCUGGCUGCCCCCUUCCUCCCACCCGCCUGGUCUCCUGCACCGGCUCCCAUUGGCUGAAUCCACCUGUCAGAACUGUCCAGAACGAAGCCUUGAAGUGCCAGCCUCUUUGUGCUUCAGAAUGGAUGCUGAUUUAGUUGAACCAGAAGGAGAUGAGCGAAAGUUAUCUCUGAACCUCCAGGUCAUGCCUUUAGAGGAAGUGGGGUGUCCAGCACCUGCCCCCUUUCCAGCCGGCUAGAACGAACGAAAGCCAUGAUGGCAGGAGCUGGCACAGCCAUCUUGGCUCACAAAGGAAGGGCUCAUGGGACAGGCAGAGACACCAGGGUCCUCUUCAUUGUGGACCACAAAUAAGCCCCGACUUGGACUGCCCCUUGAGAGCUAAACAGUGCCUCUGUUAAAGCCGCUGUCACUUCGGGAUGCUUGUGACGGCCACGGAACCUGAGCCCGGCAUAGAUGAGGCAUGCAUAUCUGUCACAGGUGGGGCCUUGGGGACAUCUGUUCCGUGGACGUUGCUGUGAUAUGAUCCCUGGAGUCGACGCAGCCAUUUUCCGACCUUGAAGAGCCAAUCCUGGGGAUGAAAGCAAAUUUGUCACGGCUGGCAGAGGGGACAGACAUACAGCCAAGGUGGCCUGGGUGAUGCCCCUGAGCCACUCUGUAAGCCAGACCAAGAACGCCUACCACCAGACUCCCUGUGACAGGAGAUAGUAACUGUCGGACAGAAGCAGCUGUAGCCAAAGAAAUUCUCUAACAGAGAGGUUCUAAUCACAGUUGUGCAUCAUUGAAUAGGGAGUUAGGAAGCCGGCGCCGUGGCUCAAUAGGCUAAUCCUCCACCUUGCGGCGCCGGCACACCGGGUUCUAGUCCCGGUUGGGGCGCCGGAUUCUGUCCCGGUUGCCCCUCUUCCAGGCCAGCUCUCUGCUAUGGCCAGGGAGUGCAGUGGAGGAUGACCCAGGUGCUUGGGUCCUGCACCCCAUGGGAGACCAGGAAAAGCACCUGGCUCCUGGCUCCUGCCAGGAUCAGCGCGGUGCGCCGGCUGCAGCGGCGGCCAUUGGAGAGUGAACCAACGGCAAAAGGAAGACCUUUCUCUCUCUGUCUCUCUCUCUCACUGUCCACUCUGCCUGUCAAAAAAAAAAAAAAAAAAUAGGGAGUUAGGUUCCAAGAAGCGCAGCGUUAGAUUUGGUUAUUGUGCAGACAUCAGAAAGUGCCCUUCCCCCAGCCUAGACAGUACAGCCUACCACAGACCUAGGCUAUGGGGUGUCUGUGAGGAGCUGCAAAAUAUUCAGAGCCUGGAAUUAGAAGACAAGUUUGGCGUGGAUGUUCAGCCAACCGAUUAAGAUGUCUGUGUCCUCUGUGGGAGUACCUGGGUUCAAUUCCUGGCUUUGGUUCCUGACUCCAGCUUCCUGCUAAGGCAGGCCCUGGAGGGCAGCAGGGAUGGCUCAAGUGAUUGGAUUCCUUAUGCUGUUGUGAUAAACCUGAAUUAAGUUUCUAACUCCUGAGGCUGGUGCUGUGGCAUAGUAAGCUAAGCCUCUGCCCGUAGCAACAGCAUUUCGUAUGGGCCGACUCGUGUUCUGGUUGCUCCUCUUCCAAUCCAGUUUUCUGCUAUGGGAAGGCAGUGGAAGAUGCCCCAAGUGCUUGAGCCCUUGCACCCACAAGGGAGACCUGGAAGAAGCUCCUGGCUCCUGGCUUUGGAUCAACACAGCUCCGGCCAUUGUGGCUAUUUGGAGAGUGAAGACCUUUCUCUUUGUCUGCUCCUGGCUUUGGAUCAGCUCAGCUCCAGCCUUUGAGGCCAUUUGGGGAAGUGAACCAGCAGAUGGAAGACCUUUCUCUGUCUCUCCCUGUAACUCUGCCUCUAAAAUAAAUAAAUAAAAAAUCCUAAAAAGAGAAGAGAAGAAGAGAAGAGAAGAGAAGAGAAGAGAAGAGAAGAGAAGAGAAGAGAAGAGAAAAGAGAGGGAGGGAGGGAGGGAGGGAGGAAGGAAGGAAGGAGGAAAAGAAAAAGUUUCUAGCUCCUGGUGUUGUUCUGGGCAUCUGGGGAGCAGACCAGUAGACAGGAGUGUUCUGUCUCUCUCUCUCUGUGUCUUUCUGCCUCUCAAAUAAAUAAAUAAAUGUUGAAAAGAUACAUUGACUUGGGUGAAAAUACUUUUUUUAAUUUUUAUUUUAUUUAUUUUUUUGACAGGCAGAGUGAACAGUGAGAGAGAGAGACAGAGAGAAAGGUCUUCCUUUGCCGUUGAUUCACUCUCUAAUGGCCGCCGCGGCCGGCGCGCUGUGGCCAGCGCUCCGCACUGAUCCGAUGACAGGAGCCAGGUGCUUCUCCUGGUUUCCCAUGCGGGUGCAGGGCCCAAGCACUUGGGCCAUCCUCCACUGCCUUCCCGGGCCACAGCAGAGAGCUGGCCUGGAAGAGGGGCAACCGGGACAGAAUCCGGCGCCCCAACCGGGACUAGAACCCGGUGUGCCGGCGCCGCAAGGCGGAGGAUUAGCCUAGUGAGCCAUGGCGCCGGCCGGGUGCAAAUACUUUUGAAAACUAUGCUUAAUUGUUCGUACUACACACUGCCAUGGAUUUUUGAGAUAUCCUCACACAUAUGCGAUAGCAUAGCCUAUGGUCCUAGGACCACAGUGAACGAAAUGACACAAAGAUGAAAAUCAAAUCCAAGAGGCAGUGCUGCAGUGAAGAGACCUGGUAAGCGGGAGAGAAAGGAGGCUGCUGCCGGCGCAACACAGUCCUUGCCUUAAAAAGAGUAGAAGGCGUCCACUCGGAAAUAACGACAGAAAGUGUAGCACAGCGAAUACGUAAGCCAGCGACUUCCUGGCACAUCAUCUUCCUGCAGCACGAAGCCUGCCCGCAAGUGUCCGCAACGCUGCUGAUGUGGGUGGCCGUGCAUCACCAGUCUCUCUUGCAGGAUCUUUGUGUGAAUCAAAUCGGAUAGUGGAUUAUUUUUAAAGUUUGUUUUAAGCCCGUUUAUCCUACUAAAAAGCGAGUUCUUGAGGGCAAACGAAUGACCACGAUAUCUCUGUAACCCAAGAAGCUGUGGCCGGGCCUAGCACUCAGCAAAUAUUUACAGAGACGUCGAUGCAGGAGGUCCAGUUCUGUAUUGGAAAGAGCGCGACACACGGAGGACACGGAACCCUCCUCCUCCUGGGGCCGCCGGUCCAGCAGCAGGCGGCGUCCUCAGGUAGCCUAAGCACUGCUGUGCCCAUCACAGAGGGCUCUCUCCAGGGCCAUUCCCGGGAGAGCUGCUCAGCAGUGGGGUGGAAGGAAACCUGCCAUCCAAGCAGGCAGUCAGGUGAGCAGUAGCCCCGUCCCCUCCCUCCAGCUCCCCAGAGCCCCCGCCUCUCCCUCAGCCAGGAAGUAGUGGACCAAGCAUGCACUUCAAGACCCAACCUUCCUGGAGCUGAGUCCCUGCUCUGCCGUGCAGCCUCCGCGUGGCCCCAGGUCAGCCGUUUACCUUCUGUCAGCCUCUGGCUUCUCUGAGGACGAAAAGUGAGAGCCGGCUCACUGCCCGAGUUCCAGCACCACCUGCCCGCCUCCACCCUCCCAGGAAACUCACCCCUGGGCUCCCUCAGCGCCUCCAGGGAUGGCAGCCUGGGCCUUCUCGAACUGUUCGAAUGACCUGUGCUCACAGGUAGUGGAGCAUCAAAAAGGUCAUGGGAAAAUGGGGUUAAUAACGCAGAGCCGUGUGGCCCAAGACCCAGUCUGUCUCCUGCUGCAACAGUGCUUGGUGAAUCAGGCCUGGGACCCUCUCUCUUCCUGCCUCCACCCUCCCUCCGAUCUGCUCUCCAGCGGCUGCCUCCUGGACCACUUCAUGGCCAUCUCCUGCUUCUGGGACCCUCUGCCCCCUCAACACCCUCUUUUGUGGACUAGCUUCUUCUUGUCGACCCACUACAACCUCCCCUCUCCCUGGAAGUCUCUGAAUUCCAAAUUUCAUCUUCCUGGGCUCAAGAAUCUGCUAAGAGCUUAGUGUUCUUAACCUCCCAGCCUUUGAGGACCAGUAAGUGCCUGGAGAGAGACACAGUGCCAAAUGGCAGGUGCACCUCUCUGGGGGUCCUGUAUUCUAGGCCUUCAACCCCUCAUUGCCAUAGCAGCUCUUCAGCAAGAUGGCUUUGAACAUGCUAGUUAUUCUCAAAGAAACAGCUGGCCUGCAUCAACAGACUGUGCCACUGGUGGGGGUUUCAGCCAGAGCGCUUGACAGUGAAGAUGAAGGAGUGAGUGGAAGAACAUUUAGGAGGCAGUGUAAGGAAUUCAGUUUUCUCCUCCAACCUUCCCCUCCCCCACCCGACACCACCCGCCCUCAAGCAUUGCCUGGAAAGCCCCUCUCCUCAUCUCCACCUUCACAAAGCUCCUACAUCCUGAGCUCAGGGUGCACUCAGCUAUCACUCCAAGUAUAAGACAGUGCUAGAUGCCCCUGGCUUCAGCGACUGGAUAACUUGUGGCACGGGCUGGGCCAAUCAGAGCAAAUCUGGGACUUGUGCUGGAACCGUCGGGAAAGUAAAGUCUUCUGCCACAAGGUGGUUCAGCUGGUAAGAUGAGACCCGAGCGCGCAAGGACUUCUGUGCCACCUGGGAAAAGCCCACAUAAUGCAGAGCAGAGAGACGGAUGGAAAGACUGCUCUGUGUGAUUCUGUUUCUGUUCAGUGCCUCGUACCUCCCAGUUGCGUCAGCCACACUGCCUUGGUUUUGUGUGAGCAAUUUGAGUUGCAAUUCCAUCACUUGCAAAAAAAAAAAAAAAAAACAAA